GCGGUUUUUUGUAGGUUAGCAAUUAAUUGUCAUCUUAUUCUAUAAAUUUUUAAACGAACAGUGAUCAGUUCUUAAAAAGAUUUUUCACUCUUCUUAACACUCAUGGUAAUGUUUUGUUGUGUACUUGUUUGUGUGUGUGUGUGCAUGCGUAUGAUAUAUUUUGUACAUGCACAAACCAAUAGUAUUUUACAAGGCCUUAUAGUGUAUUUGUUGGGAUGGGACAACUAUUAUGAUAUAAAAUACAGCAAUGCAGUGGUUCACAUUUUAUAGAAUAUCAGACUACAAACACUCCCCUCUGGUGGAGGGAACAGUUGCAAUAAAAUAGUUAUAUAAAGCAUAAUUAAAGUGCAGUAAUAUUUUUAACACUGCAUGGAUUUUUUUCUUUUCUUUUAGUAUCCUAUGGAGAUGUUCUGAAAUCACCAGAGGUCUGGCGAAGAUGAUUGUGUUUUCUAGUAGGAUGCUAAGGGUUUGGCUCAUAUAAUUGAGUGGAUGUGGAAAUGAAUAAGACUAUCCUGUCAUAGGCUGUAACAAAGCCAAAUAGCAUAGAUCCUAACGUGGGUGUACAGUUCUUACGAUUACAGCAAAAGGAGAGAUAUAUCCUUAGUGAAUCCCUAGAUAAGAUCAUAAUGGAACUCUGUGACUCAUCUGAAGGUGUGAGUUUACUAGAAACCUUCAAAAGAUGGGCACUAAAAAGACAUGUUUUGCAAAUAAAUAAAAAGACGACGAAGUGUCCAGGAGUGAACUCUGAUAAAUGUACAGAUAAUGCACAGAUCAAUGUUAGCAUGCAUUUAUUCCAAUGCAUAGUUGUGAAAUGGAAGAGGUAUUUUGCAGACACUUCGCACCAUGACUCAGUCUCAGAAAUAGAGUAUCUGAAACAGGUCAGGGUAAAAAUGGUGUAGUGGGCAGAAAGACUGAGAUAACCUUAAUAUACUUGUGAACCCCAUUUAUUACGUAGUUUUAUGAUCUGAUACAUGGUUCUGUAGUUUAAGCUCAGAUAUAAUCAAUGAAACCGUAUACAUGAAUUAUGUACAUUAUAAUUUGAGUGCAAAACUUCUAUCAACAACAAAUUUUGUCUCACUUAUAUCCUUAGACCAAUAUGGCAACCUAAGUGCUAACCACUGAAAUAUCUACGUAUUCAGCCAUGGAGCUGAGACUUCUCUGACGUCUACUCUUAAAGACAUAGGUCAGGGUGUCCAUAGAUUCUCUUUCCACCUUUCCUCUUAGGCUCUGUGGAAUGCCUUGAAGCACAUAUAUCAAUUAUCAAGUCAAUACAUAAAUUAUCUGCUGCCUCUGGCACAUGGAAUUGUAGCAACAGGCUGCCAGCUUUAAAAUUUGGCUGAAAAAGCACUCAAUAGUGGGCCACUGCAUAUACCCUUUUGGCAACUACAUGGGAUUCUAGAGAGCAACAAUGACCGUCAUGGAAAAUCUCCCCUGUCGGUGCUCCAGGCAUGUCUUCUAGGCAUGGGCAAACCCAGUGAGAAGACAGGAAUUGAGCAACUGAUAAACUCCUGUGCAGAGCAAAGGUCUGCCCGUAUCCAUGGAGAACGUGAAAAGUGUUCAGGGAUCCCUGUGUGCUGCUGGUAAAGUAGAUUACUGUUCCCUUUCAAGUAGCAGCAUGUGCAGUGUUGUACAAACAUUUUACUCUUUCUGUGGAGGCUUUGUUUAAUGAUAGUGACCCGUACUUUUGCAGAAACCUUGAACUAUUCUCUCCAAGUGAUGCAUGAAAUGUAACGAUAACAUGGAAAAUGAAAAAAACCUGUUAAGAAAGGCUAGAGAGCAAGAUCAGCAGAAACGCACAGAGGUCUGGUCUGGUAUGGUGACAGCAGCCGAACUACAGACUCAAUGAUUAAGUCAUAUUUACAUUUUAUGUAUACUGAAUGUUCUACCUGUCUCUAAUAUCUUCCUAUCCCUGCAGGCAUGAUCUACUUAGGAGAGUUUUUUGAGUGAAUUCAUUCAGAUAUACAAAUCAAAGUUUUAUUAUGUUUCCUGUUAUCAAAGACUGGAACGAGACAAAGAGGAGCUUUCUUAAGACUGCUUGUGAAGACGCUCUGUAGUUGUUACUCCACCUUCAGUAAAUGUAGCUGAAAAUGAGCCAGUCCACUAAACCUCAGCUUCCCCUUUACAGCAGGGGCUCUCAGAGAGGUUGUCAUGUGGAAACUUUUCUCACAUUUGCCAUGCUACUCAGAGGAGAAGUCCAGAGAAAGAGCACCUUCUAAUAUUUCUUGAGGGGAGGUGGUUGCAAGAUAAGUGGUCAGGAGAAACCUAAGGUUUCAGCCUCUAUUAUAAUUUUUUCCCCCUCCUGCUGAUGUGAUUUUAAACCAGGAUGCUUACCUUACUUGGCCAUAUGUCUCUGUUACACAAGUGCUGUACCAUGUUUUCCUCCUCUCUAUGUUUUUUACGAUAGACACUAAACAAAGGAGCAUGUCACAAGUGUAACUGUCACAGCUGACCUUCCUGACUUGGGUUCCCCUUCGUUCUGGGUAGCUCAUGCUGAGCUCACGCUCAUACCUCUUGAACAUACCUCACGUCAGACUCUGCAGUAGCAGCGUGUAAUGGCAACCUCCCAUUUUUGUCAGGUAUGUUCUGCUUAGCACCGUUUCUGAGGAGGCUGACACAGCCUUCCAGCCAACCCUAAAAAAGAAAUUAGAGCAUGUCAAAGAGAAAAGUGAAUGCAUCAGGCCAUAUCUUUGCUUGGUGGUUCUAGUGUCCACGUGUGACUAUAGCUGUUUCUGCCAGCAGAGAAACUGAUCUUUCAUUUCCCCAACAGAGGUCUCUCAGCACCCAGACUAGUUCCCCUUACUGGUUUUCCCUGGUAAAUCUCAGACUGGAUCAGUCAUUCAUUUUUGCAAUAAGGUAUUUUCAUUUUGUUUUUUCUGCAGCUGUGGCAAGUACCUACUGAGUAGAGUGAUUAAAAAACUGGUAAUUCCUGUGUCACUAGCAAAUGCUGCAUAUAUUCCUGCAUGUGGAUUUAAUUAUGCUAGGUUAAACCAAGAACAAGAGCACUUAAAUUCAUUUCCUUUAUGACAUUUUAGCAAAGAUGGCAAAUCAAUAGUAAAAAGCUUUAGUGUGGUCAUAUAGACAUUGUUGCAGAAGUUUGAAUUAGCAUAAAUUUUAGACUGAAAACAGCACCAAAACAGACAGGAUGAAUAAGUUCUUGGACUAAAACUUUCUGUUGAUCACCUCAACAAAAAAGCAAGCAAAUAAUUUGGUUAUGACUGCAUAACUCUUUCAGCCCCAGGGAAACCAAGCAUGUGUUUAAGUGUUUUGUUCAAUCCAUAAAGACUGUUCCCUCCUGUAUAAGCUAUGUCAGAUUGACACUACUAGUGUUUAUAAAAGGCAUGGGAUGAUGGAAUCAGAACAUGCCUGUUGCAGCUCCUGGUGGAAGUACAAGACCACCGAAUUCUGCUUUUGAUUUUGGCUAUGAAGCUCUGCUGAGUUCAGUUCUCUGGGCAGUCAUCGCAGCCAAAUGCUCUGUAGACCUCUGAUUAUAUCCGUCACAGAAACUGAAAUGGAAACUUCGAAGCCUGGGUGGUUUAAAACUUUUCCAGUAAUUUCUUUUUUUUCCCAAGGAAUAUUUUUUCCCCUCUGGGAAAAGGGGAAGGGAAAAAGGAAAAUGACACUAAUUAUGGGAUUUUUUGAAAAUAUCUGGCAGAGGAAAUGCUUAUUCUCAAGUAAGCGGAGAAUGCUCCUUGCAUUGAAUGACACUGCCUGUUUUGCUAUUUUCUACACUUAUUUUCUGGCUGAAUAUUGCAUAGCUGAGCAGAAGCAUUGUUUUAGUACUGAAUUUGCAGGAAGAAGCCAGAUUCAAGGGCUGUGGUAUAAUUAGUAACCUGUUUAAAUGAAUUGGCAAUCAUCCAGCUGUAACUUACACUUUGCAGCAUAGGUGAACAUUCCUUCCUCCUUUCUGUCCAGUUAAUAAUGGAAGCCCACAGUCAACCCCUCUCCCAACUAACUUGGUCCCCAUCCUCUCUCUGAAUCCUGAUUUCCCUCCAGUAAGGAGAAGACUAAGGAGAAGAGAAUCACCCUCGUGUUAUUCAGACAGGGCUCCACAUCUCCCUUCCCAGACUUCUCAAUGGGACGUCUGCCCUACUAUCACUUUGAUGUGGGUUGGCUGGGGGAUUGGAUUGCUUGUGAUCUGAGUAUCUUCACUGGCACCUGCAGUGCCCUGAACUGGUGCCCUGGCCACCAGAAAUUGAGAUAGGAAUGCCCUCUCUGGAGUAUAAAAAUCUGAUGCUGACAGCAGGAGAGGAGAAGUUAAUCUGCAUAUUAAGAACAAGAAGGGACUUUCUAGUGCAUAGAAACAAGUGGUUUUCUUGAAACCACAUAAAGUACUCUGGAUCUAGUGAGAACUCCACAGCAUUUUGGACUUUACAAUCUGAAAGAGAAGGGAUGCUCUGACAGUAGUUCUGAUCAUUUCCUAAUAAUCAUUGCUUCCAACUCUGCAUUAUAGUGAAGUUUACAAUUUCACUGUUGUCUAGAACCAAACGUUUUGUACUUUUUUUUCUUUCCAUAUUAUAAAAACAAAUAUUUGGUCUGUACGUUUACUCCCUUCAUCUAUCUUUCCAUCGUUCUUCCCAAGCCUCGGUACCAGAUAAGUUGCCAGAGAUAAACUGGUACGUCCACAAGCAUCUUGAGUAUUAAUAUUGGCUCCCAUCUUCAGCAGAAGCUUCACUGUAUCAACCUGGCGCCCUGACACAGCAUGCAUCAAAGCACUCCAGGAUGGAAGGGUCUUCUCGAAUCACAGCAGUUAGUGUAUUCACAUCGCCAUUAGCUGCUGCUUGGAAAACCACAGUCAAGUCAAUCUCUUCUGCUGCAUCACCUGCAGGGGAGGAGUAUGUCCGUGAGCCCUGUGACCUGCUGUUGAAGAGAGGAUCAGAAGAUGAUAGCUACUGGUUUCUUCCCUCCUCCCACACUACAUCUUGCUCCAGGUUACGCUUAGUCACACACGUAGGGACACGCUUGUGUUUCAGUGUGACAUGUAAUUUCUGACACCAUGGACUGUGGGGACUGGCUUUUCAUCCAUCUGCUGCUAGCAUCAGUGUUUUUUUUUAAUCUGGAACGACUUGCCUGUUUGUAUUCCACGCAAGGAUGUACAAGAGACUAUAAGAAAUAAAGGAAGAAAUAAAUGGGGGGAAAAAGGCAGAAAAAAAUUGAAAAGUGAUUCAGAAGUGUGUCUGCUCUUUCCGUUCAAGCCACUGUACAGAAACUAUACUCCUAUUGUAGGACAAAGACCUUUGAGCACAGUGAGAUGUGUUUAUGCUGCUCCUAUCAAAGAGCCUUUCAUCUCCACAAAGCAAAUUAUUAACACAUUCCACUGAAGAUGUGGGGGUGGAGGCUUGGCCUUGGAAAAAAAGCUGGCCAAAAAUGAACAUUUUUUUAUAAACACUUUUAAUGAUAGUGAAUGGCACCUUGCCAAGACCCUUAUGCCCAGUGAAGCACUGCAGGCUGAUUGUUUGUCUGGAGAAGUCCUGUGGGCUAAGCCUUUUGUGCUGAGGAAUUUCUCAUUUGAAAGGCAGUGGUGUGGGAGGUGUGGGCCUUUCCAGGUUCAUCGAGUUAAGGUCUGCACUGCCAGUUGCCUUCAACCUGCACUAGAGACUGAUUUUUUUGGAUGAAUGAACACCCACCUCUGUUCCAGGCAGUAAAUCUUGGCCUCUCAGGAGAAGCUGAAAACAUGAGGAGUAUCCUACACAAAAUACGUAGAACAGCUCUGUUAAUAGACAACUCCCUGUGCCUCCCAGUAUCCUGUGCAGAUGUCUGGCUACCUAGCAAAAAUUUUGCUUACUGUUAUUCUAUGAAUGAGUAAAUAUUUUAUGCAUUCUCCCUUGCCCCAUGGAUCAAUAUUGGCUUGCUCAGGAAAAAUGCUUAUUCUUAGUAUACAGAGACUUGAAGUAAGGCAGUUUAUCAAGAAUUACUAUAAAAAUUCUUACUUUUCGCCAGCUUUUUUUUUUCUGAUUCAAUUGAAAGUAGUGCCAUCAUCUUCAUAAGCAUCAUAUUUCUUCAUUGCUAUUAUUGCCACAACACAGGAUGUCUGCAUAUAUAUGUAUACGUCAUUUAUAUAUAUAAAUGGAUUGCAAAGACUUAUACAGGUUCCUGUGAUUCAAAGGACAGCUGCUGUCCUUGGAAAACAAUGCAUAUCUUCUGGACCAGUGUAUAAGUAGAGCUCAACAUGCACCAGGAAAUGGGAGCAUCUCUGUUUCUGUCCAGCUCUUCUACAGUUAACAUUUAGUCUUUGGGCAGCCAUGGACCCUGAGGGGGAAUGAGAGUUUCUAUAUGCUUGUUGUUCUCACAUAUAUUUAUGCUCGUGUGUUAGCUGAUUCCCCAGUUAACUUAAGAUACUUCAGGAGAUCCUUCUUCAAAUGUUUUUUUUUUUCCCGAAUGCUCAUAGUGAACACCACUAGGAAGUGGGUCUGGAGUUCGAACAAAAACCCACUUGCCAGUUGUGAUUUGUGAUGUACAGACUGGCCCAUGAUCCACAGUAAGGAAUAGUGCCAGCUGAGACUAUAAAAAUUAGGCCUCUGUGAUUUUCUGCUCCCUGCAAACGUUUCAUGCUCAAGAAAGCAAUCAGAACUGUGUGGAAAAAGCAAUUCCAGUUUGUGGAAGACACCAAUAUUUAAAAAGUUAAUCUUAUUCUUAUUUCUGACAAACAAAGGCUUAAAAAAUACUCUGUUAAAAGAGGGAAGAUCCUGGUUUAUAAUACAUAGUGUCCAAGCUGUAAGGGCACAGGAGCCCCGUAAUCUUAAACUGAAGGCAGCUGAUCUGAGACCUAAGGACUUAGCAAAGACUGGGAACUGCCAGGAGGACUCCUGGCUCCUUCAUCACCCUUCGGUCCAGGUGGAUUGAUGAGGAAUCAGUAAAAAAAUCUACAAAAUCGCACUGUGUUGUUGGAACUUUUGCAUUUAGACAAGUUGGCAAUUUCAAAUAAAACCCCAGUCCUGUCAAAAAUUCUCUACUUGUCUUGAUUUGUGUGAGACAUGAGUCAGGUACAGGCUAGCAAUACAAUGUUUAUAAUGCAAGGAAUGGUAAACCUGCAUGAUGUUUCAAAUAUGGUAU